rnacentral:rRNA from 1 species
UACGAAGGGGGCUAGCGUUGCUCGGAAUCACUGGGCGUAAAGCGCACGUAGGCGGAUCUUUAAGUCAGGGGUGAAAUCCCAAGGCUCAACCUUGGAACUGCCUUUGAUACUGGGGAUCUCGAGUCCGGAAGAGGUGAGUGGAACUCCGAGUGUAGAGGUGAAAUUCGUAGAUAUUCGGAAGAACACCAGUGGCGAAGGCGGCUCACUGGCCCGGUACUGACGCUGAUGUGCGAAAGCGUGGGGAGCAAACAGG